rnacentral:lncRNA from 1 species
GCGGGACGUACGAACGGACGAACAGACACACGGACGGACGGAACGACAAACGAACGGACGGAUGAACGGACGCACACACCAGCAAUCUAGCGUUCUUCUGAAUGAGAUUUAUUACACAAAGAAAUGUAACAUUCAUAAUGACACGAGGUCCCACAAUGAUACGCAGAGGUAAAUAAAAGAAAAACCUCAUAGAAAUCGUGUUUUCAUGAUUCUAGCUAAAAAAUGUCAUUUUAAGUAUUGAAUACUUCUUUUUGUAAUUUCAUUGGGUUGUAAAAGCGCGUACCGUGCGCACAUUUUUAGAAUGAAGGGCUAUUACGCUUCAUACAAAAUGUACUUCGGUCAACGCUUUUACACCCCAAUGAAUUUACAAAAAGAAGCAUUCAAUUCUUAAAUGAGUUCUCUUUGGUACAUUUUUGUAACAAAACUUUGGUCGAUUGUUUAACGAAGACACCAAGUUACAGUACUGUUCAACAUCAUAUUUAUUUCUGAUUAAUAACCCUCGUAUUAUAUUACCUUUCCUGCAUACAACAGACUUAAGACAAAUAUUUUUACCAAUCAUUUAUGAUCGAAGUUUCCUUAUUGAAUUGAAAAUUUUGUAAGGGUGCUUUUCAUUCAAUUCAACAAGUAUUUGUAAAAGCGUAAAUGGGUUCACUGACUUAUUACUGUAAAAGCACAAAUUUUCGUGGGGGAUUUAAUUUCGUUUAUUUCGUGGAUAAGAAUUAUCCACGAAAUUAAAACCCCAACGAAAAUUUAACUGUAGAUUUACAUUAUUUUAUGAUCUGACUAAAUC